rnacentral:lncRNA from 1 species
CUUGGCUUCUGUGUUAGAAGUCCAGAUUCCACAUCCAGCUUAAAAGAGAACAGCAACGCUGCAGAGAUAUUUCAUAUAGUAAGUUAACCAGAACACGGAUUGAGCUGAAGUUCAUUUGCCUUCAUUGUAACCAGAGCAUGACUGUUUGCUGGUUUUAUUAAGGGAAAUCCAAUAUGGAUAUGGACGUGUCCACUAUUGGCGUAGUUUACAAAUAGCUGUAUCUUGGGUGGAGUGAUUAUGCUGUUGCCUUUGGCUGAUGUGUUGCUAUUUAUAUUUGCAAAACAGAAGCUUCGUGUGAUGGCAUGUGCUGCGGAUGUAUGACGUGAAAGAAUCUGUUUGAUGCAGGAAAGGAAGAUGGCGGUCACUGCUGGCUGACUUGCAUUUGCUUCGUCUGCACACUCAGAGUAGUGUGGCGUGCUGCAAAAUAAAUGAUUGCAUAAACAACAGAAAUAAUCAAGUGCUAAUAUCCAUAAUCUCAGCACACUGAUUAAUUGCUCUGCUAGGAUUCCGAACACCUGCAGAUGGGUCAGCAAUUUAGCUUUGAGAAUGGAUAUUCAUCUUCCAGCUCUCCCCAUUGUAAAUAUCAGGUUGUUUUUCUUGAGGAAGAGGGAGGAGGGAAGCUGGUGUAUAAGGUCCCUGCUUGGACCAGAACAGCAGAACGCAGCAGCUGCUGGAGGUAUGAGUGUCUUGUUGGCAGUUUAGCAGCAAAGAACCCCUACUGUGCAUCAGCUCUCAAAUCAUUAGUAUUAUCAAGCAGCAUUGAAGUCAGAAUUAAAAUAGGCCUCAUGGAUAAUUUAACCCUGAAACAAUGAGGAUGGCAUACAGUUUCACAUUAGAAGUGCUGGCAGCUGAGCUAUGUUCUAAUGCCCUGCCAUAUUGCUAUUCCGCUGAUGCCUCUUAAGAGGCAAUACUCAGUGACAUACAUAAUUGUGGGGUGGAGGAUUUAAACAUUUCUAUAAGGAAAGGGUGGGGAAUUUGGCCCUUUGUGGCGAUCACACAGGGUCCCCGGACGGUUUUGACGGUCUAUUGGUCCCUGUGAUUGCCUCUUCGCUGCCACCAACCCAUUUCCCUCGGGUACACACGGAGUCCAGACAGUUGUUAACAUUAACAAAUAAUCAAGUUUAUUUUUAAAAGCAUAAACAAGUUUAAGGUUUCAGUUAAUUUUUCUUGUCAGUUUCUUAAUCUUAGUUCCUUUACUGUCUUAUAUGUUCCUAACAACUUCAAUCUGAUUAUCCCAACUAUCAAUGGAUCCAAACUACAAGAAAGAAGAUUCCACCUAAACAUUAGGAAGAACUUCCUGACAGUAAGAGCUGUUCGACAGUGGAAUUUGCUGCCAAGGAGUGUGGUGGAGUCUCCUUCUUUGGAGGUCUUCAAGCAGAGGCUUGACAACCAUAUGUCAGGAGUGCUCUGAUGGUGUUUCCUGCUUGGCAGGGGGUUGGACUCGAUGGCCCUUGUGGUCUCUUCCAACUCUAUGAUUCUAUGAUUCUAUGAUUCUAUGAUCUAUCUGACUCCACCUAACAAUUCCUCUCACUCCCUCACAACACAACUCGACCAACCCACAGACUUAUCCUCUCUCUUCCUUCUCCAACUCUCAACUCUAAACUGACUUAGGGUGUGAUUGUUUGCUUGUGAUUGGCUGUGGUGAUCUUUGUUUUCGUGUGUGAGUGAGGUGGGUGGGUGUUUUGGAUCAGGUUAGCCAUAUUGAUUUGUAUGCUGUUGGUGGAUUAUUGUCAUUGUCCUGUUGGGCUGUGUAUGUGAUAAAGGGGAGCCAUACCGGGGUGAAGGCGUCUUCUUCUGUUUGUCCCCGUGUCAGUUUCAGUUUAUUAGUUAAUUUUUCUAGUAGGGCUGUUUCCCAUACUAUUUGGUACCAUUGGUCCAUGCUUACUCCUGACAGGUCUCUCCAGUGUCUGGUUAUGGUGUUUCUGGCUGCUGAGAGCAGGUGGGUUAUGAGUUCUUUGUGGUGUAAAUGGGCAUUGUUGUCUUGGAAGAUGUUUAGUAGGGCCAAUUCUGGGGUGAUGCCUAUUACUUGCUUAGUUAUUUUACUUAUUUCUUGUAUGGCUGUUGUCCAGAAUAGUUGGAUUUUGGGCCUAGGCCAACCCCAACCUCUCUCACCACCAAAGGAACACAAGUGAACAACACAAGCAACGCUGACACCAAACUCUACAUACAUUAAACAUAAUAGAAACACCGCCACCCGACCCCACCCCUAUCCAUCUUCCCUCUCUCCUCCCCCCCUUUCUUUUUUCUUUCUUUUUUCUUCUCCCCCUAAUGCCUCAACAAAUGAAACGGAUUUGUAAAAAUGUUACAUGAAGAAGAAAAAAUAUGAGGCACUACACUUCUGUAAAACAAGAAAAUCCUUAAUAAAAUAUUUUUUUAAAAAAACUCUAAACUGACUUCCACACAGCUCCGACUCUAACUCUCCUAUCAGUUUCUCUCUGGCCAAUCACAUCACACUCAUUUAACCCUUUCCUUAUGACCCACCUAGGAGGCAAACGCCACAAUGCCCUUCCAGAUAUUGUCAGACUCCCACCCCCAUCAGCUCUCACUAGCUUGGCCAAUGGUUAGGAAUGAUGGGAGAUGAAGUCCAACAAUGUCUAGGGUGCCCACCCCUGCUUUUUAAAUACCCCUAAAAUUAUUAGUACCUAUGAAGUAUUCCAUGCUCCACAAAUAAGUGAUGAUGUAACCAUCACAGGGCUUCAAAAGGCAGGCAAAAAGUAAAUACAGUGGUACCUCGGGUUACAUACGCUUCAGGUUACAUACGCUUCAGGUUACAGACUCCGCUAACCCAGAAAUAGUGCUUCAGGUUAAGAACUUUGCUUCAGGAUGAGAACAGAAAUCGUGCUCUGGCGGCGUGGCGGCAGCGGGAGGCCCCAUGAGCUAAAGUGGUGCUUCAGGUUAAGAACAGUUUCAGGUUAAGUACGGACCUCCGGAACAAACUAAGUACUUAACCUGAGGUACCACUGUACAAAUUUGUAUUGCAGUUUUGGAAGUUGCAAUAUGGAAACCAGUCAUCUGAAUAUACACGUUCUCUUGACUUGCUUAUGUCAAAUUUCCUCUGUUACUUACUGUGUUGAUUUGUUCAUACAACAAUUAUUUAUCCUCCUUUCUGAUUUCUACUUUAGAACAGGAAUAGGGAAUGUGUGGCUUCUAGAUGUUGUUGGACUUCAGCAUGGUCAGUGGUCGGGGAUGAUGGGAGUUGUAGUCUACCAACAUCUGGAAGGGCACAGAUUCCCCAGUGUUUAAAUAAGGGAACGAGAAUAUCUGCCCUUAUGGUGAAAUUCUAAUAUGCAGCAGAUAAAAAUAAGGAGACGAUAUUGGGACGCCAUUCUUGUAAAGAAUAACUUGCAUGUAUACGUGUGCUCAUGCAAACAGCAAACAGGCUCCCUACACACACAAACAUAUCCAGAGAGAGAAAGAGAGAAUUAAACAAUGAUCUUCAAUUUCCUGCAUUUACGCACAGGCAGCACCAGAGCAUAGCUGUCAAUGUUUUCCUUUUUUAAAGGGAAAUUCCCUUAUUCCCAAUAGGGUUCCUCGCAAGAAAAGGGAAAAGUUGACAGCUAUGCACCAGAGAGGAACUAGGAGAGACAAGUGUCUCAAGAACAGUAACCACCCCACAAACACACAUACACACACACACACCAAAAAACAAGAACCUCCCACCAGAUGUCAAAGAGAAAAAUAACUACCAAACUUUUAGAAGACAUCUGAAGGCAGCCCUGUUUAGGGAAGCUUUUAAUGUUUAAUAGGUUAUUGCAUUUUAGUGUUUUUGUUGGAAGCCGCCCAGAGUGGCUGGGGAAACCCAGCCAGGUGGGCGGGGUAUAAUUAUUUAUUUAUUAUUAUUAUUAUUAUUAGAACAGCACUGCUGGAUCCCUAUAGUUACUUGAAGGAAAGACAAUUCUCAGGAUGCUUAGAAGUUUACUACACCUAAAGCCAUAUUACUAACUUCAGAGGAAACAUAGUACUUACUUCAAAGAGUUUGGGGUCAGUUUGGAUGAUACUCUGGGUUCCUUCCAAACUUGCCACCCUGUAUCUGUGGGGGAAGAACAUAUAAGAGGAAGCUUGCCAAAUCAUUCCCUUUGUCAGAGAGAAACCUAGAGCUAGAGGGGCACUUACAUUUCAACCCCCCCCCCAAAAAAACCUAGGAAAUUCAUUACCAAAGUGGAGAGGGGGGCCCUAUGAAGCGGCCGGGGCCCCAUAAAUUUCGGGGUAGAAUAAAAAAAAUGCCUAAUGGUUUAUUGAAUAUUUACAGAUAAAUUGAAAACAGAUAAAAACAUUGGCAGGAUUAUUGUAAUAACUUGCAGUUUUAUAAGAGUAUAUAUUUAAAGGAGAAAAAUAAAUUAGCAAAUUAAAUGAAUUUGGAUAUGCAGAAGAUAUUAAAAAAAUAAAUUUAAGGAACCGCAGAAAGAGGGGGAAGGAAGUCAAGUUUUGAAAUGUUAAAGGGAUUGUAAAAAUGAAUGAAAUGUAUAAAAGUGAAAAGUAUAAAUAAAAUUCAGAAAAAUGGGGGGGGUUGCCUCUUUUUUGGGAUCAAUGAUUUUCGGCGGUUUACUUAAAGAAAGCUCCGCAAUGUUGGGGUCUUCCUAAAAAAAAAUAAUCUCCACAACUUUCGGGGUACCCUGGUUCUUACUCUUUGAAAAUGUUGCUGCUUAGUCGUUUAGUCUUGUCCGACUCUUUGUGAUCCCAUGGACCAGAGCACGCCAGGCACUCCUGUCUUCCACUGCCUCCCGCAGUUUGGUCAAACUCAUGUUGGUAGCUUCAAGAACAUUGUCCAACCAUCUCGUCCUCUGUCGUCCCUUUCUCCUUGUGCCCUCAAUCUUUCCCAACAUCAGGGUCUUUUCCAGGGAGUCUUCUCUUCUCAUGAGGUGGCCAGAGUAUUGGAGCCUCAGCUUCAGGAUCUGUCCUUCCAGUGAGCACUCAGGGCUGAUUUCCUUCAGAAUGGAGAGGUUUGAAGAGUCUCCUCCAGCACCAUAAUUCAAAAGCAUCAAUUCUUCAGCGAUCAGCCUUCUUUAUGGUCCAGCUCUCACUUCCAUACUCCACUACUGGGAAAACCAUAGCUUUAACUAUAGGGACCUUUGUCGGCAAGGUGAUCUCUGCCUUUUAAGAUGCUGUCUAGGUUUGUCAUUGCUUUUCUCCCAAGAAGCAGGCAUCUUUUAAUUUCGUGGCUGCUGUCACCAUCUGCAGUGAUCAUGGAGCCCAAGAAAGUAAAAUCUCUCACUGCCUCCAUUUCUUCCCCUUCUAUUUGCCAGGAGGUGAUGGGCCCAGUGGCCAUCAUCUUCGUUUUUUUGUUGAGCUUCAGACCAUAUUUUGCGCUCUCCUCUUUCACCCUCAUUAAAAGGUUCUUUAAUUCCUCCUCACUUUCUGCCAUCUAGGUUGUGUCAUCUGCAUAUCUGAGGUUGUUGAUAUUUCUUCUGGCAAUCUUAAUUCUGGUUUGAAAUAUGUCAGCCCUAACUUUGAGGCCCUUCCUGCUCUCCCUAUUUUUACACUGGACUUAUACUGCAUGGCCUUUCAGGCAAUCUGGCCGUCCCAGCUAGAAUCUCCGACCACCAGACAUCGAGUUUUUGUGUGUGGAGAGUUUUGUUUUGUGGGAUGGAGGCUGCUGAGUCACAUGAUAUUCAAGCUACAGUCUGCAGUCAUUUAACUAACUCACUGACAAACUAGGCCCCGUCUCUGUGCGUUAAUGGCCCUUUUGGAAACAGUUUCUUGAAACUCUUUAUACUUCUCUAUUCCAUCUUUUCAUAAAGAAUUAAUAGGCUUUGGGGUGUUUCUAAACAAGCUGAAGACUGUUUUACAACAAAGUACUAUCUGCCCACACCCACCCACAGCAUUUAUUUUUAGAGCCACUUUCAAGCAUUGCAACAUAUGUCUCCAACAUACAGUAAUUUUAUACUGGUUUCCCCAACGCUACAGAGUGUAGCUUCUUGAUAUAUUUCAGUAGUUAACAGUAUAAUUGGCCUUUCUGUAGGUAGAAGACAGCCUGCAGACUCCUCAUUGAUUUUUCCUUGCAAAAUUAUAUCAUUUCCCCGAGACCAUUAUGUGCAGUAUUAAAAGAAAAGAAAAGAAAGCCAAAAGAAUAUUUUAACUUUCAAAUGAAAAACAAUAGAUACCUUCCAGCUUGGUGCAUAAGCUACACGCUGAAACUGAAGGGAGGAAGAAAAAAAAAGUUUUCAGAGUAAAUUCCAAGGCUAUAUUGAUAUUGAGUUACUUGGUAACGGUAAUGUUUCCUUUUUCUUUACAUCCAUGUCUCUGUAUUAUUGCAAUGCCCUCUCAAUACAUGUAGAGGGGGAAAAGGUCCAGACCCAAUUCUUCAAAGGGAGGUCUGCAAUAAGGCCGGCCCUGUCAAUAGGCAAUAAGGCAGCCGCUUCAGACACCUGGUUUUGGGUGUCAUGAAAGGGCAGUGAAUUGUUACACUAUUUAUUUUAUGUUAUUUUAUUAUUUUUGCUGUUGCUCCUUUCAGUGCAAGGCACUCGUGAGACUUUCUGCCUCAUGGCUGCAAUGGCUGCCAAUUAGUUUCCGGGUCCAAUUCAAAGUGCUGGUUUUGACCUAUAAAGAAUGGUUACCAGACGUCCCCGUUUCCCAGGGACAGUCCCUGGAUUUACAAAUCUGUCCCCACACAAAAUCUGUCCCAAGAUUUCAUUUAAUGUCAUUUAAUGUCCCCGGCUUCAUAUUUUAAGUGUUGUAGAUUUAUUAGUAGGGAAUGAAUGUUGUGUGAUUGGUUCAAUGGCACAAGAAACAUCAUAUGGGGACUUCCGGUGAGGCAAAAUGGCGGGCGCCACGGCAGCGAGCAGCUCCUGAAGCCAGCCAGAGCCAACUGCGCUACCAGGCUGGCUCCGGGCUGCUGAGGCUGCCACUGCCACUGCCAAGGGGGAACCAGGGGGCCCGGUGCGUCAACUGGGGGAACCGCUGACCCCCUUCCAUGACCCAAAUCGAGCUGGAAGCGAGAGCGCCAGGCCACCCAGCCGACUGCCCAGUGGCACUCCGGGGCCAGUAAAAACCCCGGAGCCAAUACAGGGAGAAGGAGCAGAGGAGAAGGAGAAGGAAGAGAGAGGAGAAAAAUAGAGAAGCCCCGACCUUGCCGCGUCACUGUUGCCGCCAGUGAGGAGGACAGAUAGGAGAACACCGGGAGGACAAUAAUAAUAAUAAUAAUUUAUUAUUUAUACCCCGCCCAUCUGGCUGAGUUUCCCCAGCCACUCUGGGCGGCUCCCAAUCAAAUGUUAAAAACAGUACAGCAUUAAAUAUUUAAAAAUUCCCUAAACAGGGCUGCCUUCAGAUGUCUUUUAAAGAGAUGAUAGCUGCUUAUUUUCUUCACAUCUGAAGGGAGGGUGUUCCACAGGGCAGGUGCUACUACCGAGAAGGCCCUCUGUCUGGUUCCCUGUAACCUCACUUCUCACAAUGAGGGAACCGCCAGAAGGCCCUCAAAGCUGGACCUCAGUGUCUGGUCUGAAUGAUGGGCGUGGAGACGCUCCUUCAGGUAUACUGGACCGAGGCCGUUUAGGGCUUUAAAGGUCAGCACCAACACUUUGAAUUCUGCUCGGAAACGUACUGGGAGCCAAGGACAAGUGGCCGAGCGAGGCCCGACCCGAGCCUACUCCACGGCAGCUAGCGCUCCAAGAGAGCAGGCCGGGGCCCAGAGGAAGGCCAUGCAAUAUGAUCAUCAUCAUUUUUAAUUUGUAUACCGCCUUUCUAUCUUACAAUACUCAAGGCGGUUUACAAGCUGAAGAAACAAAAAAUGUACAUCUUAUAACAAUCUAACGCAAUACAAAAAUGUAAUAAUAAAACAUAACUUUAAAAUAGGCAACCUCCAUCAAAAAAGUAACGUUCAGCAAUCAUUAGAAUAGUAUAAAAUAAUAAUAUCAACAUAUAAAAGUUAAACAGAAAUCUACUCAACAGUUACAAUAAUAUCUAAACUGUAAUCAAUAAAACAACAGCAAGCCACAGUACAUAAAACAAUACAAUAUACAUUGAGAAGCAGAGGGAAGGCAGGUGGAAGGAGUCUCUCCCCUCACCAGAGGAGACCACAGAAGAUAUUAAAACAUAUUUUUUAAAAAGUAAGAAGUAAUAACAUUUUUUUUCUUUAUUUAAAAAAAGUGUCCUCGGAUUCUUUGAAAAAAAUCUGGUAACCUUACUAUAAAGCCUUAAAUGGCUCAGGACCUCAAUACCUCAAGGGCUGCCCCUCCCCAGAUGUACUGAUCUGGACCCUGCAACCAUCAUCUGAAGACUUUCAUCGUGUGCCACUUCCAUGAGAGGUCCAGAGGGUGGCAACACAAGAACGGGCCUUUUCUGUGGUGGCUCCCCACCUAUGAAAUGCUCUUCCCAGAGAGGCCCACCUGGCGCCUUCAUUAUAUAUAGUCAGCUGCCAAGCAAAAAUGUUUUACUAUAGCCCAGUUCCCGAUUGAUUAAACAAUCUAUGUUUUAUUAUGUAUUUUUAGUAAUCAUUUUGCAGUGUUAUGUUGUGAGCCCCCCAUGAUCUUCAGACGAAGGGCAGUAUGCAAAUUUAAUUAAAUAACAACAAUAAUAACCAAACUGAGGGACUAUAUGCAUUAUGACUGAAUGUGUGCCGUUUGCAGUUUUGUCUCCUGCGACAAAAUGUAUCAGGCUCACUCUGGGACAGAAGCUUUCCAUGCUGUUAAUUUUUUAGGUAGCAAAAUAGCUCGGACCCAAGAUGCUUUGUUGCCUGAGGCAAUAUCAAGAUUACUCCCCAUUUUAAAAAUCCACGCGUAGAAGCUGACCAAACUGGUUCUUGAACAUAAGUCCCCAUCCGCACUACACAUUUAAAACAGUAUUAUUCCACUUCAAAACAGCCAUGGCUUCCCCCAAAGACUCCUGGGAAAUGUAGUUUGUUAAGGGUAAAGGUAAAGGUCCAGUCGUGACCAGCUCUGGGGUUGCGGCGCUCAUCUCGCUUUAUUGGCCGAGGGCGCCAGCGUACAGCUUCCGGGUCAUGGGGCCAGCACGACUAAGCCACUUCUGGCGAACCAGAGCAGCGCACGGAAACGCCCUUUACCUUCCCGCCAGAGCGGUACCUAUUUAUCUACUUGCACUUUGACGUGCUUUUGAACUGCUAGGUUGGCAGGAGCAGGGACUGAACAAUGGGAGCUCACCCCGUCACGGGGGUUCGAACCGCCGACCUUCUGAUCGGCAAGUCCUAGGCUCUGUGGUUUAACCCACAGCGCCACCCGCGUCCCAUUUGUUAAGGGUACUGAGAGUCAUUAGGAGACCCCAAUUCCCCACACAGAGCUACAAUUACCAGUGUGCCUGAAUGUUGAAUGCUUCUUCCCAGGGAACUUAGGGACUGUAGCACUGUAAGGGGAAUAUGGCGUCUUCUAAGAAAUCUCAGCGCCCUUAGCAAACUCUCAGGACCCUCAUAGCUGCACUACACCUGCUUCCAUAUGAAUUUCACCACUGGCCACUCCAACAGCUAGCACCCACUUGAGGGGGGGGGGGAAGCAGGCCAGAUACUGAGCAAUAAUUGCUCAGAUCAGAUGAACCAAAUCAACAUCUCUUCAGAAGAGGCCAUACCACACUCUCUCUCUUUUUUUUACAAUGUCUUUAAUGGAAAUGUUUAAAUUUAAGAGGGUACGGGAAGACUUGCAAAUUUGUGUUUCAGGAGAUGGGUGGAAUUGUAUUUGUAGAACACGGCCUACCUGUUCAUCUAAACAAAAGUAUCGAGACUUUUUAUAAGAUUUUUUUUUUCUUGCUCCAUAGUACUUCACUCCAACAAGGUUAAUGAAAUAUUUGCCCAUGUAACACACUGAAUGCAAAUUUUAUGCAUAUAUUGUGGAGGUGAAACGUACUCAGGCAGAUUUUGGGAAGCGAUUUUCCUCGUCAUCAAAAAGAUAAUGAGAACAGCAUUCUCAUUAAAUCCAGAAGUUUGUUUGCUGAAUAAUUUAGGCUCCAAUUUUAAAACACAUAUACUGGGGUGUAAGUCCCAUCGAAUACACAGUGGGACGUAUUUCCAAAUAAACAUGCAUAACGUGGUGCUUUUAAAGGAAAUAAACACAGACAUUUAGUGGGCAGGUUGUUGACAGUUCCUAGAAUUAUUGCUGCAGAAACCUAGAAAAAUAAAGAGAAACUUUCAAAGGAAAAGUGGGUCAAGGUUUGGCAUGAAAUGUUGGUGAAUAAAAUAACACCAUCUGAAUAAAUGUGAAGAAACAAUAUAAUCUCCCAAGUACUAGAACAUUAGCAAUCAUUUCUUCUGUAUUAGAAUUAUGUCAAGUAUUAUUGAUUUCAAGUUUGUACAUAGCAUUUUGUUAGGGUCCUUUUAUGCAUGUUUCCUCCAAAUGUAUUAUGUCCUUCUAUUAUUUGUACUUAAAAAUAAAAAAUCCCAGCUAUUGAUUUCUGAUUAAACCACCUUGGAAGCUUUUAUGGCAAAUGGUGAAAUGUAAAAACUUUAAUAAUUCUGUUAUAUGUGAAGCUGCAAACAAUAGCAUUUUUCCUUGGAAGAAAGUUCCACCAAACAUAGGGACAAAUGUAUAGGGAUGAGCAGAGAAAACGGCCUUGAAUGCCAGUGUAAUAUAUAUACAGUGGUACCUCAAAUUACAUAUCCUCUGCAUACGUAAUCUUUGGGUUGCAAACGCAGCCUCGUGCGCGCAUGCGCAGAAGUGAUUAGGUUGGUCUCAACUAGGGCCAGGGCCUUUUCAGUACUGGCCCCAACUUGGUGGAACGCUCUGUCAUAAGAGACUAGGGCCCUGCAGGAUUUGACAUCUUUCCGCAGGGCGUGCAAGACAGAGCUGUUCUGCCUGGCCUUUGGUUUGGACUCAGUUUGACCUUUAUGUUUCCCUCCCCUUAUGGUUUUGACUUUUAAAAUGAGGCUGCAUUUUAAAUUGCAUUUUAACCUGUAUUUUAAAUUGUUUUUUCCCCUUCUUAUGUUUUUACUGAAAUUUUAUUGGUGUUAGCCGCCCGGAGCCCGGCUCUGGCCAGGUAUAAAUAAAAUUUAUUAUUAUUAUUGCUGUUAUUAUUAUGUGCCCCACUCAUGUGCAGAAGUGCUCAAUUGCGCUGCGCACGUGUGCAGGAAGGCGCCUCCAAUUACGGACUUUUCGGGAUAUGGCUGGGCCUCCAGAACGGAUCCCAUCCGUAACCGGAGGUACCACUGUAUAUUUUUAAGGGAACAGAUGUGAGUCACACUUCCAUUAUUUUUGCAUAUCAACAGCUUCCAAGAAGGAAAUACUGGGAGCACUUUUUUUUCUGGGGCAGGGGAGACUUUAUGCAUAUGGUAGAAUUCAAGUGAUGCCAGCAGAGGGGUGGAAUGAUCUUUCAGUUUUGGUUUCUCCAUUUCUCAUUUUCCCAUUCUUCACUUUAGCUCUCCACAUUUCUGCAGCUUUUUAUAGUUUUUAAUCCCCAUGAAAAAUCUGUCAGCAUUUUACUGCAAAUUUAUCCUAACAAACCCAUUUUUGUAUGCAUUUUGUGUGAUGAUGCACAUAUUGUCGGAACACACCUGGGGGCACAUGCAGCCCCCGGAAUGAGACAGACCUCUCCAGGUGUCUUCCUGAUGAAGCGCAACCCGGGACAUUCACAAAUCUUCAGUCCCAGUGUGCACCAGCGACACAUAUCAAAAGACAUGUGCACGCUCUAUCAGCAGAGUAUAGCACAAACGACUGUGGAGCAUAGGUGUAUGCAUUCUAAGUAUUUAUAAAGUAAUAUAUACAGGACAAAUCAAUCAUGGCAUCCUCUUACUUCUCCGAGAGAGAGAGAGAGAGAGAAAGAAAAGUACAAAAGAGAUCAGACUGACUUCCAGUCUCACACUUUCCAAACCUAGAAAGUAAACACUGACAUGUGAUGUAACAAUCACACAUCCAGCAACGGAGGAGUGAAACGCUAACACGUAUAUUGGUUUAAAGACUGUCUCAAGGCAAAUUUUUUAAAAUGUAAUAUAAACACCAACAACUGGGAAACACUGGCCUGCAAGCGCUCCAAUUGGAGAACAGCCUUUACCAAAGGUGUCGUGGGCUUUGAAGACACUCAAACGCAGGACGCAAGGGAGAAAUGUGCUAAGAGGAAGGCACGCUUGGCAAAUCCACACUGUGAUCAACUCCCACCCAGAAACCAAUGUCCCCACUGUGGAAGGACGUGUGGAUCCAGAAUUGGCCUCCACAGUCACUUACGGACUCAUUGUUAAAACCGUGUUUAUGGAAGACAAUCUUACUCAGCUAUGAGUGAUCGCCAAAGAAGAAGAAGAAUUUGCAAGCAAUCCAGCCCCCCAAAAGAUAAUGCAUUUCUGUAUGUUAUUUCCACAGAGUUAUUUUUAUACACAACAAUUUCUCCAAUAUAUGCAUUUUUUGUAAAUACUGCUUGGUUGGAGAACUUCAUCACAAAAUUCAGAUAAGGGCAAAUUCUGAAGAAUAGAUUGUUGUUGUUCUCACUGUUUUAGAAAGGAUGAAUUUGAUAUAUUCUGCUUUAGCUGUGAACCAAAUCAAAUCUGCCCCCCCCCCCAUUAUUAUCCCAGUGCACACCAUUAAUGUUCACAUCUUCUCACAGUGGCCUGUGAAUAUCCCAGGCUGUGGAUGAAACACCCUCACAAUCCUUGUGUAGUUAACUUUCGUUUCAGGGUAAAAGCUCUAUAAUAUGACAGCCUCUGACUCCUCACGACUGAUCGGUAAACAAGCCCUUCAGAUUCAUCUCACAUGUGAGCAAGGGGGAGUUUUAAUUCAGUUUUGCAUGCUCAUUUAAUCUUAAAUUGUGUGACAAUUUGGUUUGUGGGUUUUAUAUUUAGAAGCACUGAGAGAAAGGAACAAGCUAAGAGACCGGGGCUAUUUACAAAAGGAAAUGUGCCCAGGGACCCAUUUUAACAGCGGUGCUGAUUAUUAAUGUCCAUGGUAUUGAAGGAGCAAGUGAGCAUUGCAAGAGGCCUCAAAGUAUUAUGGUUUGGUGGCAUUAGCUUAAUUUAGUCGGUGAUUUAAAUGAUUUUGCUGGUGGCUGCCUCUGUUAUAAGUUAUAAAAAGGAAACAGAAUGAAAACUUAAAAAUAUGUAACAUAUUUACCCUUCAACAGAGAAGUCUGGAGCUGCUUGCUAGUAAUAUUAAAAUUUAAUAUUACGUAUCCUUCUAAGGCAAAAGGAAGGUCAUUCAAAAUUGCACUUUUGUUAAAGAAAGAUGCUGGCAGCUGUUUUUUUUUAAUAAAUAUUUGAACGCCAUUUGUGUAACUGAAAACCAAUAUCUAAUAAUCACAAUUUAGUCUAGUGCUGGGCAACUCCAUGAAAAUGUCAAGCUGCUAGCCCAUUUUUCAUUUUCAUAUAUAAUUAACAUGUUCCACAUCAUUUUAAAGAUAAUUCCUGAAAGUUUCAUUAUCUGGCAAGAGUUUUUCAAAAUGGUAUUUUACGCAGAAGUGUGACAUGCAAGAUGACUCCAAAUUUCUCUAAUUUUCCUAAUCUUCAGUUAAAUCUCUCUCCAAGAUAAUACACAAUAGGUUAAUGGCACUUUAUCAUAUUGAUAGCUUUGCUUUCUCGUCUGAUAAACUGAGAAGACAUUUUGUGUUAGGAAUAAAAUCAAAUGAGCCUAGAACAAUAAGACUUAAUGUUGGCUAAGUGUGUUAUAUUGGUCACAAAAACACAUACAUUCUUUCACCUUAACAAAUGAAAAUCUGCAUUUUUAAGCUGUCUCCUCUUAUUUAAAUAUGUUAACUUUAAGAAAAUGUGAUGAGAUGUUACCUGAAAAGUUUUUCACAUACAACAAUUGUUGGUCACAUUUAAAACAGAACAAAAGGAAAGCAUUCAAACUUUCUGUGGCGUAUGUCUUGCUUAUUUUUGUGGGGAAGAUCAACCCAGCUAACAUAUAGUUUAAUCUUAACUGGAGUUCAAAUAAUAUUAGCCAACGCACAAAAUAUGAUAUGAAGAAGCUUAUGAAUGUUAUGUUGGUCACUGCAGAAAUAUGCUGCUAGCAGACAAAGUUCAGUUAACUUUUUCUCACCGUGUUUUACACUCCCCUGUUUUGCAAUUCCUCACAUCUAUCUGGCCCCUUGCUAAAUUUUCAUAAAGAAUAGGAGGAACGUGAGGUACACAUUUGUUAUGAUAGGCAGCAUGGCAUGUGCCCCAACAUGCAGAUAAGUGUUUAGUAACUGCAAGUCAAAUGCCUAUGUACUGUAAAUGAGGUACACUGCACAAUAACCCGUGAACUAGGGGUGGGAACAGUUGGCCUUUCAAACGUUGCUGCACCACAACUCCUAUCAGCCCCAACCAGCAUGGCCAAUGGUCAAGGAUGAUGGGGGAUGUAGUCCAACAUCUUGAGAGCCACCCCUGUCAUCCUGAAAAACAAUGCCAGAAGAACAUGUUACCGUAUUUUUCGCUCCAUAAGACGCACUUUUCCCCUCCUAGAAAGUAAGAGGAAAUGUGUGUGCGUCUUAUGGAGCGAAUGCAGGGGGGAGACAGGCAGGAAAAUCCCCCAAGACCCACACAAGAGCUCCGCGCGGCUCUUGCGGGCUUUUCCCCAGGAGGGAGAAGGGCUUCUUUAGCCACUGCGCAGCCCCUCUGGCAGGGAGAGGCUGCACACGGCUAUGGCUCCUUUAGCCCCACGCAGCCUCUCCCGGCCCGAGAGGUUGUGCGCAGCUAAAGAGGAAGCCAAGACAGCAAGUGGGAUCCAUCCCGCUCUCUGUCUUGGCUUGUUUGCUCUUUGGGGCUGGGGGGGGGGGACCCGGGCUUCCCCCAGCAGCACCAAGAAGCUCUGGGAGAAGCGGACAGCAGGAUUUUUUUUCUUGAUUUCCCCCUCUAAAAACUUGGUGUGCCUUAUGGUCCGGUGUGCCUUAUGGAGCGAAAAAUACGGUAAGCUUUGCUAGAGAGAUGUAUUCUGAAGCAGACACAGCCAAGUCCAAUUGUUGCUCAUCCGGUUCUUGGGAAACCAACUGAUUGCCAAAUAUUGGAAGGAGCUUUGUGUCUCAGGCCUCACGUUUAUCCCAGUCAAGUUUUCAUUCCAUAUGCCUUCCAAGUCAACCUGUUGAACACCUUCCUGCGUUUGCCAAUUUGGCACCAGAGAGCAUGUGAACAGAGUUUCAUGGGAACAGCCACUUUGUCAGCGAGAUUGUGAAGAGAAGCGAACGGAUUCUGCCAGGUGCCUCCAGGUAAAAUUCACUUGCAGUGGCUGUUCCUGAGUGCGCUGAACAAAAUGCCACAUGAAAUGAGUUGUUUGGGUUCCAGAACUUCCCGUUCCUUUCUGUCCAACUUGCUGUGCUACAGAUAUCAGAAACCAGGUGCACAUUUUAUAUCAGGCUUCCUCAACCUCAGCCCUCCAGAUGUUUUGAGACUACAAUUGCCAUCAUCCCUGACCGCUGGGUCCUGCUAGCUAAGGAUCAUGGGAGUUGUAGGCCAAAAACAUCUGAAGGACUGAGGUGGAGGAAGCCUGCUUUAUAUGUUCCUUCAACACAUCAAAUUUCAACACAUCUAAAACACAUGUGAAUGUUUUCAGAUUGCUUUAACUGCUUUAGAAUACUUUUUUUUUUUAAAGAACCGGGAGGUAUUUUAUGAAAAUUCAGCUAAAAUUAGAACAAAAAGAAAUCUGUACAAUGCAAGGAAAAACAAAACAAAUUAAAUUGAUUGACAACAACAUUACAAAGGCAACUUUUUAUGGGGGGGGAGUUGUGGAUGUGUUUGGCACCUUGCAUUACUUUGAGAGGAAAGGCAAGAUAUAAAUUCAAUAAACAAACAUCUGUAGCCACUGUGUGCUCAAGAGAUCCUCACCCAUUGGCUCCCAGACCAUUCAUGCCAAAGUUAGCUAAAACUAAGUCGAUUAAAAAAAAAAAAGAAUAGAUAGUUCAUCCAUAUCAUGGAUUGGGGUGCGGGGAGAAAGUUGGAGCUAUAUGUUUAAUCAGCUAGUUUAUCUGCAUUAGAUCAGGAGAGGUCAAAUCCCUUCACUUCCUAUGCUUUUAUUAGGAGAACCAGCAAGGGGGUCAGUAGGUGGCAUGACAUUGACAUGGACUUGAUUUAGUCCCAUGUCUUGGUACAUACAGCACCACGAUGCCCGCCACCCAAAGCAAUUACAAUUAUUGCCAUUUCUGCCACUGACUCUCCUCCAAACUCAUUCAUAACGGAGCCUGGACUCUUGCCAGGAAGCCACACGAAUAGUUUAUGACAGGGAUUUAUAUCAAUAUAAAACUCGGGUGUUGAAUUAAAAGGAGCAAGCUAUACAGAAGAGCAAGUUAAACAUUUUAUCAGAUAUGUAGAGAGAAGGAGGCCAGAGUUCCUAGGGAGAGUCGGCUUUAAGGGGGAUCUUUUUAGGGGAGGAAGGAGAAAGUAAUUUAAAGAAGCUUCGUUCUCUUACAAAAGCAGUUAUCGCAUCGGCCUCAAAGAAGGUGUCGGGCUUUCUUUCCACAGUAAUCCUAAACCAGAGCCAGGCUGUUGCUUUAUUUAGGGUGCCAUAGAAUUAUAGAAUUGUAGAGUUGGAAGGGAAUAUGAGGAUCACAUUAUGCAGCUUCCUGCAAUGCAGGAAUAAGCAGCAAUCCCAUAUGGACAUUAAACCUGCAACCUUGGCAUUACAGUGGUACCUCGGGUUACAGACACUUCAGGUUACAGACUCCGCUAACCCAGAAAUAUUACCUCGGGUUAAGAACUUUACCUCAGGAUGAGAACAGAAAUCGCGCGGCGGCAGCGGGAGGCCCCAUUAGCUAAAGUGGUACCUCGGGUUAAGAACAGUUUCAGGUUAAGAACAGACCUCCAGAACAAAUUAAGUUCUUAACCCGAGGUACCACUGUAUCAGCAUCAUGUUCUAACUAACCGAGUUAUCCAUGCUAUGUUUCUCUGGCAACAUGUUCUUGACAUGGCACUGGCAUGUUACUGCUGGGUUGUUUUCUGGUUUAGUUUGUUCUGCAACGCUUCCCCCCAGUGCUACCACAUGAUUGCUGUCAUAGAAUCAUAAAGUUGGAAGAGACCACAAGGGCCAUCGAGUCCAACCCCCUGCCAAGCAGGAAACACCAUCAGAGCACUCCUGACAUAUGGUUGUCAAGCCUCUGCUUAAAGACCUCCAAAGAAGGAGACUCCACCACACUCCUUGGCAGCAAAUUCCACUGUCGAACAGCUCUUACUGUCAGGAAGUUCUUCCUAAUGUUUAGGUGGAAUCUUCUUUCUUGUAGUUUGGAUCCAUUGCUCCGUGUCCGCUUCUCUGGAGCAGCAGAAAACAACCUUUCUCCCUCCUCUAUGUGACAUCCUUUUAUAUAUUUGAACAUGGCUAUCAUAUCACCCCUUAACCUCCUCUUCUCCAGGCUAAACAUGCCCAGCUCCCUUAGCCGUUCCUCAUAAGGCAUCGUUUCCAGGCCUUUGUCUGGAGGGUCUAUAGUGCAGCAGAAGUGGGACAAAAAUAAACCGGAAGGUUUGUGAUAUAAUAAUAAAUAAUAUUUUUUUAUUUCUACCCCGCCAUUCCCGGUUCACAAAACCGGGCUCAGGGCAGCUAACAACAAAUUUAAAACACUUAAUUGUAGAAGCAGCAUAAAAUACAGUAUAAAAACGUGAACAACAAUAAAAUUCAAAGUUCAGAAAUCAGUUUGGGGAAAAUCCAUCUAAUAAGCAUUAGAUAGUCACCAGGGCUAGCUGGCUGAAUUAGUCCUACUUGGGCCAGGGAGGAGGCCAGGGGAGAAUUAGCUGUGGGGUCUCAGAGCGGGUAAUCUUCAUAAAAGGGGAGGGGGAGGGAAGAGAAGGGAAAUAAAAGAUCAGGCUGAAUUCAAAUUAAAGGCCAGGCGGAAUAGCUCUGUCUUACAGGCCUGACAGAAGGAGGUUAAAUCCUGAAGGGCCCUAGUCUCAUGGGACAGAGCAUUACACCAGGUCGGAGCCAUCAAUGAAAAGGCCCUGGCCCUGGUGGAGGAUAGUCUGACUUCCUUAGGGCCCUCUAAACUAUGGUUAUUCAUGGACCUUAAGGUCCUCUGCGGGGAUACUAGGAGAGGCGGUCCCUUAAAUACGAGGGCCCUAAGCCACAAAGGGCUUUAAAGUUAUGGGGAUGUCAGCAAGAAAUUAUGCAGGGAUACGCACCAAUUGGAAGAAGAAGAAGAGUUUGGAUUUGAUAUCCCGCUUUAUCACUACCCUACGGAGUCUCAAAGUGGCUAACAAUCUCCUUUCCCUUCCUUCCCCACAACAAACACUCUGUAAGGUGAAUGAGGCUGAGAGACUUCAAAGAAGUGUGACUAGCCCAAGGUCACCCAGCAGCUGCAUGUGGAGGAGCGGGGAAGCAAACCUGGUUCACCAGAUUAUGAGUCUAUCGCUCUUAACCACUACACCACACUGAAGCAGUGUGGCUGCCCCAAAAUAUUUGCAGGCACAAAAGAUGGCCAUUUGUCAUGGAUGCUUCAGCUGAGAUUGCAAGGGUUUGGAUUAAAUGACGCUUGGGAUUUCCUUCCAGCUCUAUGAUUCUGUUCUAUUCCAGUCUAUGAAACGGUAUUUGAAACAGGAUCAUGUAUAACUGUCCCAAUGGCAUUAUGAGUACAGAUCACCAGGGAUGCACAACAGAAAGCCUGUCUAGAGGGACACUAUGUCCAGCUGCGUAGCUAGCCGCUUGGGUGCCGGGUGCUGCCCGCGUAUCCUGCAGCCAGGGACGGGGCGAGCCGCCCAUGGGGGUGGGGCAAGCUGCAUGCAGCUUCUCUGCUGCCUCCCCCUCAGCUGUAGGGUGGCCGAGCGAGAGGCGGAGGGCAGGCGCAAAUCCCACGCUGCCAUUUCAGGCAGCGCAGAACCUGCGGGCGCCCAAGCCACCACAUCACUUCCAGGAGAGAUGCGUGGCUUGGGCACGCUGCAGGCCCUGCGGUAAGUGCCAGGCCCCACGGUGUGGCACCCAGUGCCAGCCGCGUUUCGUUAUGUUUGUUGACUGAACUAAAAAGUUUCGUGAGCCCUAAAUUUUUUUAAACUCAUAUUUUUGACCUUUUGUCACCCCCCUCAGUGAAGACACCCAGAGCAACCCGCACCACCCCUUCCUCCGCCACUGACUAUGUCCACCUUUCCAGCUUAAAUCUGAGUGCUCACUGGAAGGACAGAUCCUGAAGCUGAGACUCCAAUACUUUGGCCACCUCAUGAGAAGAGAAGACUCCCUGGAAAAGACCCUGACGCUGGGAAAGAUGGAGGGCACAAGGAGAAGGGGACGACAGAGGACGAGAUGGUUAGAUAGUGUUCUUGAAGCUACCAGCAUGAGUUUGACCAAACUGCGGGAGGUAGUGGAAGACAGGAGUGCCUGGCGUACUCUGGCCCAUGGGGUCACGAAGAGUUGGACACGACUAAACAACAACAAAAACCCCGCCCAUCUGGCUGGGUCUCCCCAGCCACUCUGGG